GGUGUCAGUAUAUAGGCAAUAUCAAAAGCUGUACUUAUGUAAUAAUCCUAUAAAUGUAAACUGUAUAACAAGAAAAUAACUGUUUGACUUAUUUAGAAUAAUUCAAAAACUGAAUAAAAUUAUACUAAAAGUAUCUUUAUCUUAUCUAUCUAAGAUCAUGAAACUACUAAAUAAUUAUUUGCAGAAUGCAUGAAAGGCAGGGUAUAUAUGAAGACAGCAAGUAAAAAUAAUAUAAAAAA
rnacentral:lncRNA from 1 species